rnacentral:rRNA from 1 species
GACGAACGCUGGCGGCGUGCCUAAUACAUGCAAGUUGAGCGAUGAAGAUUGGUGCUUGCACCAAUUUGAAGAGCAGCGAACGGGUGAGUAACGCGUGGGGAAUCUGCCUUUGAGCGGGGGACAACAUUUGGAAACGAAUGCUAAUACCGCAUAACAACUUUAAACAUAAGUUUUAAGUUUGAAAGAUGCAAUUGCAUCACUCAAAGAUGAUCCCGCGUUGUAUUAGCUAGUUGGUGAGGUAAAGGCUCACCAAGGCGAUGAUACAUAGCCGACCUGAGAGGGUCAUCGGCCGCAGUGGGCAUGCGACACGGCCCAAACUCCUGCGGGAGGCACCAGUAGGGAAUCUUCGGCAAUGGACGAAAGUCUGACCGAGCAACACCGCGUGAGUGAAGAAGGGUUUCGGAUCGUAAAACUCUGUUGGUAGAGAAGAACGUUGGUGAGAGUGGAAAGAUCAUCAAGUGACGGUAACUACCCAGAAAGGGACGGCUAACUACGUG